rnacentral:rRNA from 1 species
ACUCCUACGGGAGGCAGCAGUGGGGAAUAUUGGACAAUGGGCGAAAGCCUGAUCCAGCCAUGCCGCGUGUGUGAAGAAGGUCUUCGGAUUGUAAAGCACUUUAAGUUGGGAGGAAGGGUUGUAGAUUAAUACUCUGCAUUUUUGACGUUACCGACAGAAUAAGCACCGGCUAACUCUGUGCCAGCAGCCGCGGUAAUA